AUUCCCGCCAAUUUCAACUCAAAAUGGUGGUCAAAAAAUGUUUACAGAUAGAAUGGUAUUUUAGCCAAAUUUAAAGCACCUUUAGGUUGUUGUUGUGCUUUCUAGACGCCUUCAUUCCUCUGCUUUAUCCCCUGGUUUUGUUGGCCGGAAAUGCUCGGCACAGCAAUGGCUUCAAGUGCAGGUAUUUUCUUCAAUAUUCUUGCCACAUUGUAAAAUCUGUUGUUGAUAUAUGCGGGUGUGUAACAUUUAAUAAGCUUGUCUCCUGUUCUAGAUGGAUGUCUCAGCGAGAAGAGAGAUCCUUGUGCUAGCCCACCGUGUAAAAGACUUAAACAAG